rnacentral:tRNA from 4 species
AGGCGCGUAGCUCAGUGGGAGAGCACUACCUUGACACGGUAGGGGUCAGCAGUUCGAUCCUGCUCGCGCCUACCA